rnacentral:rRNA from 1 species
GACGAACGCUGGCGGCGUGCUUAACGCAUGCAAGUCGAACGGUGAAGCGCCUUCCUUUUUGGUGGGUGUGGAUGAGUGGCGAACGGGUGAGUAACACGUGAGUAACCUGCCCCCUUCUUCUGGAUAACCGCAUGAAAGUGUGGCUAAUACGGGAUAUUCUGGGUCUGUCGCAUGAUGGGUCUGGGAAAGAUAUUGUUUCGGUGGGGGAUGGGCUCGCGGCCUAUCAGCUUGUUGGUGGGGUGAUGGCCUACCAAGGCGGUGACGGGUAGCCGGCCUGAGAGGGUGGACGGUCACACUGGGACUGAGACACGGCCCAGACUCCUACGGGAGGCAGCAGUGGGGAAUAUUGCACAAUGGGCGCAAGCCUGAUGCAGCGACGCCGCGUGAGGGAUGGAGGCCUUCGGGUUGUGAACCUCUUUCGCCAGUGAAGCAGGCCUGCCUCGUUUGUGGGUGGGUUGACGGUAGCUGGAUAAGAAGCGCCGGCUAACUACGUG